rnacentral:rRNA from 1 species
CAGUAUUUUGACUGUGCAAAGGUAGCAUAAUCAUUAGUUUUUUAAUUGAAAGCUGGAAUGAAUGGUUUGAUGAGAAAUAGACUGUCUCUUUAUAAAUUUUUUAGAAUUUUAAUUUUAAGUGAAAAAGCUUAAAUAUAUUAUAAAGACGAGAAGACCCUAUAGAGUUUUAUUAUUGAAUUGAUUAAUUGUUUUUGGUUGGUUAUUGUUUUUGAUUGAUUUAAUUAUUUUAUUGGGGUGAUAUAAAAAUUUAUUUAACUUUUUAUUUAUUNAAACAUUAAUUAGUGAUUAUUUGAUCCUUUAUUUAAGAUUAAAAGAUUAAAUUACCUUAGGGAUAACAGCGUAAUUUUUCUGGAAAGUUCUUAUUUAUAGAAAAGUUUGCGACCUCGAUGUUGGAUUAAAAUUUAUUUUUGGUGUAGAAGCUAAAAUAUUAGGUCUGUUCGACCUUUGAAAUUUUACAUGAUCU